AGAGAUGUGUGAUGACGCAUAUCAAUAAGCGGAGGAAAAGAAACUAACAAGGAUUCCCCUAGUAACGGCGAGUGAAGCGGGAAGAGCUCAAAUUUGAAAUCUUAAAGGGUUUCCCUUUACGAAUUGUAGUUUAAAGAAGUGUUUUCUGUUGGAGUUUCGGUAAAAGUUCUUUGGAAUAGGACAUCAUAGAGGGUGAGAAUCCCGUAUUUGACCAUUACUUUCCAGCUGUGUGAUACACUUUCAAAGAGUCGGAUUGUUUGGGAAUGCAGUCCAAAAUGGGUGGUAAAUUUCAUCUAAAGCUAAAUAUUGGCGAGAGACCGAUAGCGAACAAGUACCGUGAGGGAAAGAUGAAAAGAACUUUGAAAAGAGAGUUAAACAGUACGUGAAAUUGUCAAAAGGGAAGCGUUUGACACCAGUGUUGUUUAGUUGAAAAUCAAUUAAAUAUUUUUCGAUUUUGAGUAGUAUUGACCUUCAUCAGCUUGCUGCUUUCUUUCUCGGAAAUUAUUGAAUGCACUUUUCAGUUAACAAGUCAACAUCAAUUUCUUUUGUUGUAAAAGGGUAAGAGGAAGGUGGCUUACGCUUUCGGCUCAAGUGUUUAUAGCCUUUUACCCCUGCAAUCGGAGAGAUUGAGGUCUGCAGCGUAGAUCCUUCGGGGUUAGAUACAUUUGUGCUAAGCUAUAGCCUUGUAUAGACAACUUGUUGACUAUGCUCAGUCAUGUAGCUUACUCGCUUAUGCUAUUUUACCUACGCUUAGGAUGUUGACAGCAGUAUAGACUGU
rnacentral:rRNA from 1 species